AAUGCCACUCCCUCACUAAAAACACCCCCCUCCAUUCUCUGCUGAUGAGGCAUUUACAGAUUAGACAGCGUCAAGGAUGUCUCCAGCUGUGAUUGGAUUUCUACUCAUCCUGCUUCCAUAUCGAGCAUCGAGUGUGACGUUUCAACCAUUGCAUCCAAAAGUAGUCGUUGAAAAGGCCCGGGUAGAAUUUAACUGCAGUCACGAUGAUGAAAAUCUUAAUGUGAUGCUCUGGUACCAGCAAACACAAAGCGGCCUGAUGGAUUUAAUCGGAUACGGCUACACUAGCAGUGAACCCGACUAUGAGGAGAAGUUCAAGGAUCGGUUUAACAUGAUAAGAAAAGACGUUACAACAGGAGCUCUGAUUAUUCCCAGUGUGACUCCAUCAGACUCAGCUGUGUAUUUCUGUGCUGCCAGUAACACAGUGAUGUGGUUUAAUAUCAGCCCCUCACUAAAAACCCUUCACUCUCUUAUUUUCAAGUUGAAGAUGCAGAGAGGAAAGUCAGCAGAACUUGUCUCAGUAAUUGUUACACAGGGAGUAAAAAUUCAUAAAGAAAACAGUAUGAAGGCAAACUGAAAUAAACACAAAUAA